GGUCACGUAGCUCAGUGGCAGAGCAUAUGCUUUGCACACAGAAGGUCCCAGUUUCAAUCCCUGACAUAUCUCCA